GCAAGGCACCCGUGGCGCAAGGGUGAGUAAGGCGACGGUAACCUACCCCGGGGCUGGCCAUAGCCGAGGGAAACCUCGGGUAAUUGCCAGCGACGCCGCGGGCCGGCAUCGGCCCGCGGCCAAAGGUGCGAUUCCGCCCCGGGACGGGCCGUCGUGGUAUCAGGUCGUUGGCGGGGUAGCGGCCCACCAAGCCUCUGACGCCUACCGGGCGUGCGAGCGUGGCCCGGCACACUGGGACUGAGACACUGCCCAGACUCCUACGGGAGGCUGCAGUCGAGAAUCUUCGGCAAUGGGCGCAAGCCCGACCGAGCGACGCCGCGUGGAGGACGAAGGCCUUCGGGUUGUAAACUCCUGUCGGGGGGGAACAAGGGCCGACGCAGAGCCGGCCUCGAGUGAUCCCCGGAGGAAGCACGGGCUAAGUUCGUGCCAGCAGCCGCGGUAAGACGAACCGUGCGAACGUUA
rnacentral:rRNA from 1 species